AGUCGAGGGGCAGCAUGGUCUUAGCUUGCUAAGGCCGAUGGCGACCGGCGCACGGGUGAGUAACACGUAUCCAACCUGCCGUCUACUCUUGGACAGCCUUCUGAAAGGAAGAUUAAUACAAGAUGGCAUCAUGAGUCCGCAUGUUCACAUGAUUAAAGGUAUUCCGGUAGACGAUGGGGAUGCGUUCCAUUAGAUAGUAGGCGGGGUAACGGCCCACCUAGUCUUCGAUGGAUAGGGGUUCUGAGAGGAAGGUCCCCCACAUUGGAACUGAGACACGGUCCAAACUCCUACGGGAGGCAGCAGUGAGGAAUAUUGGUCAAUGGGCGAGAGCCUGAACCAGCCAAGUAGCGUGAAGGAUGACUGCCCUAUGGGUUGUAAACUUCUUUUAUAAAGGAAUAAAGUCGGGUAUGNAUACCCGUUUGCAUGUACUUUAUGAAUAAGGAUCGGCUAACUCCGUGCCAGCAGCCGCGGUAAUACGGAGGAUCCGAGCGUUAUCCGGAUUUAUUGGGUUUAAAGGGAGCGUAGAUGGAUGUUUAAGUCAGUUGUGAAAGUUUGCGGCUCAACCGUAAAAUUGCAGUUGAUACUGGAUAUCUUGAGUGCAGUUGAGGCAGGCGGAAUUCGUGGUGUAGCGGUGAAAUGCUUAGAUAUCACGAAGAACUCCGAUUGCGAAGGCAGCCUGCUAAGCUGCAACUGACAUUGAGGCUCGAAAGUGUGGGUAUCAAACAGGAUUAGAUACCCUGGUAGUCCACACGGUAAACGAUGAAUACUCGCUGUUUGCGAUAUACGGCAAGCGGCCAAGCGAAAGCGUUAAGUAUUCCACCUGGGGAGUACGCCGGCAACGGUGAAACUCAAAGGAAUUGACGGGGGCCCGCACAAGCGGAGGAACAUGUGGUUUAAUUCGAUGAUACGCGAGGAACCUUACCCGGGCUUAAAUUGCAGAUGAAUUACGGUGAAAGCCGUAAGCCGCAAGGCAUCUGUGAAGGUGCUGCAUGGUUGUCGUCAGCUCGUGCCGUGAGGUGUCGGCUUAAGUGCCAUAACGAGCGCAACCCUUGUUGUCAGUUACUAACAGGUUCCGCUGAGGACUCUGACAAGACUGCCAUCGUAAGAUGUGAGGAAGGUGGGGAUGACGUCAAAUCAGCACGGCCCUUACGUCCGGGGCUACACACGUGUUACAAUGGGGGGUACAGAGGGCCGCUACCACGCGAGUGGAUGCCAAUCCCAAAAACCUCUCUCAGUUCGGACUGGAGUCUGCAACCCGACUCCACGAAGCUGGAUUCGCUAGUAAUCGCGCAUCAGCCACGGCGCGGUGAAUACGUUCCCGGGCCUUGUACACACCGCCCGUCAAGCCAUGGGAGCCGGGGGUACCUGAAGUGCGUAACC
rnacentral:rRNA from 1 species